AUUGAACGCUGGCGGCAUGCCUUACACAUGCAAGUCGAACGGUAACGCGGGGCAACCUGGCGACGAGUGGCGAACGGGUGAGUAAUGCAUCGGAACGUGCCUGGUAGUGGGGGAUAACUGCUCGAAAGAGCAGCUAAUACCGCAUACGACCUGAGGGUGAAAGGGGGGGAUCGCAAGACCUCUCGCUAUCAGAACGGCCGAUGUCGGAUUAGCUAGUUGGUGGGGUAAAGGCCCACCAAGGCAACGAUCCGUAGCUGGGCUGAGAGGACGACCGGCCACACUGGGACUGAGAGACUGCCCAGACUCCUACGGGAGGCAGCAGUGGGGAAUUUUGGACAAUGGACGCAAGUCUGAUCCAGCCAUGCCGCGUGCGGGAAGAAGGCCUUCGGAUUGUAAACCGCUUUUGUCAGGGAAGAAAUCUUCUGGGCUAAUACCCUGGGAGGAUGACGGUACCUGAAGAAUAAGCACCGGCUAACUACGUGCCAGCAGCCGCGGUAAUAC
rnacentral:rRNA from 1 species